AGUGAACGCUGGCGGUAGGCCUAACACAUGCAAGUCGAACGGCAGCACAGUAAGAGCUUGCUCUUACGGGUGGCGAGUGGCGGACGGGUGAGGAAUACAUCGGAAUCUACUUUUUCGUGGGGGAUAACGUAGGGAAACUUACGCUAAUACCGCAUACGACCUACGGGUGAAAGCAGGGGAGCUUCGGACCUUGCGCGAUUGAAUGAGACGAUGUCGGAUUAGCUAGUUGGCGGGGUAAAGGCCCACCAAGGCGACGAUCCGUAGCUGGUCUGAGAGGAUGAUCAGCCACACUGGAACUGAGACACGGUCCAGACUCCUACGGGAGGCAGCAGUGGGGAAUAUUGGACAAUGGGCGCAAGCCUGAUCCAGCCAUACCGCGUGGGUGAUGAAGGCCUUCGGGUUGUAAAGCCCUUUUGUUGGGAAAGAAAAGCUGCAGGUUAAUCCCCCGCUGUUCUGACGGUACCCAAAGAAUAAGCACCGGCUAACUUCGUG
rnacentral:rRNA from 1 species